AUGACGAAGAAACACAAAAAUAGAAAGUCCAAACAUCUAUUGGAGAACAAAAAGGGUGUUGAUGAGAAUGUGGAACACAUUUUGCGAAUGAUAGGAGAGGAGAGUGAGCUGGCUGAAAGCGAACCAGAUGGUUCUGGAAAUACCUUGAAGAAAUCAAAACUAUCCUCCCUUGUAAAGGGCUUCCAUGAAGACUACCAAUACCUUCACAAGCACUGCAAAGAUCUAAUCAGUAAACUAGAAAAUGUUGGGCACAGUUCCACUGGUUCAGAUUCAUCCGAUUCAGACUCGGAAGGAGACAGAUCGGACACUGACGUUCCUAAUCAGAAACUAGAUGCAUUAAAUGAAGAAAAUGACUGGAUGCAGAAGCUUGCUGGAGAACAUCAAAGUAUGGAAGCAGAGAUUCAGAAGCUGAAACAAAAUGCAGAAGAAAAAACGAAGGAAAUAUCUGAUCUGAAGAAGCUAUUAGAAAAGGCGAUAACGGACAAAGAAGCCACUAGUUCAGAUGUUGCAAAUUUGUCAUUAGAGAAUGAACAUCUAAAAUUGUUGGUUGAAGGUGCAGAGAAGAAGGCAGCAGAAUACCUGAAGACAUCAACAGACAUGGGGAAUGAGAUGAAGACGUUAUCUGGCGAGAAGCAAACUACUGAAAAAGAGAGGGAUGACCUGAAGAUUUUAAUUAUAGACCUGGAGAACAAGAGGGAAGAUAUGAGCAAUCAGCUGCAAGAUACAGUGGAGAAAUGCAAUUCCUUGUCAUCACAACUUGAGAAGGCCCAAUUAGCUGAGAAAGAAGUGCAGACCUUGUUAUCAGAAAUCCAAAAAUCCAAUAAUGAGAACAUGAUGCUGUCAGUGGAAUGUGAUAACCUGAAAGUAAAUGAGAAGAAUGUGGAUAUCAAAUUUUCCGAACUGAGGGAAACUCUUGCUGAAACAAGAGAUAAAAAUGACUCCUUGAUUGCAGAAAACAGUUUACUGGAAAGCAAGCUUCAGCUUUUAGGGGUGGAGAUAGAUGGUAUGAUAGUGGAGAAAGAGGAGCUAAUGAACAAUCUGAACAAGGAACGUGGAGCUGCAGAAGAAGAAAAAUUAAGAGUAGUAUCAGAACAUUCCAAGUGUUUGAAUGAGUUGGAGCAGGCACAAUGUAGCAUCAAGGAACUAGAAAAGGAAAUGGAAUCAACAAAACUUGCACUGAGUGAUAAUAUUGCAGAGCUACUGAAAGAAAAGAAUUCUGCGGCAUCAGAGCUAAAGAAGUUAGAAGCUUCUUUGAAGAAUCUUGAACACGAGUUCGAACAACAACUUAAGCAAAUUUCAGUUAUGCAGAAGGAUAAUGAAGACCUGGCGUUGGUGAAUUCAAAUCUGCAUAAUGAGCUUGCAGCAGUGCUCGGAGAAAAGAAUGAAGCUGUUGCUUCUAGUAUUGAUCUUGAAAAUAAGUUUCAACAGCAAAACCAACAAAUUUCAAGUCUUCAGGAGGCCAUUGAAGGCCUCAGAGCGGCAAAGGCUGAAAUGUAUAAUGAGGUUAUAGUACACGAGGAGGAGAAACAUGCAGCAGUUGCUCAGUUAGAGCAGUCGGAGGCUUUCGUCAAGAACCUCCAGAGCGAGAUAGAACUAAAACAGAAUGAAAUUUCACUUUUCCAGCAAGCUAAUGAAGAACUGCACGAGAAAAAUUCUAGCUUGGACAGGCAGCUGGAAGAAGUUAAGAGUGAUCUACAGGCGGAGAUCAUUCUGUUACAAGGAGAAAAGCAACAAACCAUUGAUGAUUUGCAGCAGUCAAACACUUCAGUCAAGACCCUCCAACGUGAGUUAGAGCAGCAAAGAGAACAAAACUAUAUUCUACAGGUUGCCAAUGAAGAUCUGCAGAAGAAUAACUGUAACCUGAAGAAACAAUUUGAAGAUGCCAUGGUUAGCCGCCACGCUGAAAUUAUAGUACUCCAAGACGAGAAGAAAAAAAACCUUUCGGAGUUGCAGCAGUCCGAGGCUUCCAUCAAGAAUCUAAGAACUGAGUUAGAUCAAGGACGGGAGCAAAUUUCGAUCUUGCAUCUAGCUAAUGAAGAAAUGAAGAAUAGAAAUGCUAGCUUGAACAAGCAAUUGGAGGAAUUAAGGAGCAGCUUGUCUGAGGAGAUUGUAGCACUAAGUGAGCAGAAGGAAACAGCCCUGUCAGAGUUACACCAGUCUCAUGCUUCCAUUGGGAACUUGGAGAUAGAGUUAGAAAAGCGAAAUGCGAGUGUUUCAGUUUUACAGCAAGCCAAUGAUGAUUUACAGAAGAACAUCUCUGUCCUGACCGAAGAAUUCAACGAAGUCAAGGCUGAGUUGCAGAAGGAGAUUAAAGUGACACAAGAAGAGAAGGAUACGGUUUUAACCCAACUAAAGCAGGCAGAGUUUUCUAUCAAGAACCUUGAAUCUGCGAUAGCUCAGUUAAAGGAGGAUCUUUCAAUUCAGCUAGAAAACAAUUCCAGCUUGAACAAACAAUUUGAGGAAUCAAGGACCAAUCUGCAGGGGGAUAUUCUAGCACUUCGUGAAGAGAAAGAAACAGUUCUGUCAGAGUUACAUCAGUCUCAAGCUUCUGUGAGGAACUUUGAGAUGGAGCUAGAAAAGCAAAGUCAGAGCAUUUCAGCUCUGCAGCAAGCAAAUGAUGAAUCACAACAGAACAAAUGUGACUUGACCCAGAAAUUAGAAGAAGUCAAGGCUGAGUCACAGAGGAAGAUUGAGGUGGCACAAGAAGAGAAGGAUACAUUAUUAACCCAACUAAAACAGUCAGAGUCUUCUAUCAAGAAUCUUGAAAGUGAGAUAGCACAGCUGAAGGAGGAACUUUCAGUUCAGCUGGAAAACAAUUCCAGCUUGGAGCAACAGUUCGAAGAGGCAAUACUAAAAGUUUCUAACUUACAUGAGAAACUCGAGAGAGUUCAGGCUGAGGCGGCAUGUCAAGUUAAUGAAAUGAACAGUAAUGCGAAAGAUUUGGAGAAGAUAAUCGAUAUAUUGUCAUCUCAGAAGGCCAAGGUGGAGGGCGAUCUGAAAGUUAUGGUUAAAAUAUGCAUGGAAAAUUUGUCUUCCAUGAAUGAAUUUGAAGAUAGAGUUACAGAGAAAGUUUCAGAUCAUGCUACAAAACUUGCUGACCUCCAGCAGAGCCUCGAUGAUAUCGGCAGCAACUUUCAGAGACUCCAUCAUGCAUAUGAUGGUGUGUCCACAGAGGCAUCUCAGCUUGAGGUACUCAAGAAAAACCAUAUUGAGCAGAUAGGCCAACUACAGGAGAAAAAUGCAGAAAUUUUGGACAAAAAUCGCCAUUUGGAAGAGGAAAAGUUUUGUGCAAAUAAGGAUAACGCAGAGCUGCAAAAGCAUGUCCAAGAACUUAAAUUUCAGCUCCAGCUAGCCAAGCAGAAGCUUGAAGUUGCUGAAACGGAGAGCAAAUGCAAAGAAGACAGCUAUGUGAUGGCACUGGAAUCAUCAAAAACAGAGAUCGUGCAUCUUGAAGAACAAAUACAACUGUUCUCUGGAAGGAUUAGCUUGCUGGAAGAAAAUUUUGUGCAAAUUAAAGACAUCGCCAAGUCAGUGGUCUCUAAAUUGGAAAAUCAAUUGGAUGAGCUCGAAUCAUACUCCAGCCAAAGCAUGACGCGCUUCAUUAACCGCUUAUCUGCAUGUGGUGGAGAGUUUGUUGUCCUAAAAAACAUGUUAAACAAUUAUCUUGCUGAGCAAAAAGAACUGCUCAAGGAAAACGAAGAUCUGGCUAUUGGAUUGAGAAAGAAAGAAAAGGAAAUGUCAGAAAUGAUUAAGAGUGCUACUGAGGCAGCUGAGAAGAUGGUUCAACUUGAGAAGAUAAUUGAAGAAAAAGACGAGGAACUAGCAGCUAGAGUGCAGGAGAAAAGAGAAGCUAUCAAGCAGCUGAGUGACACAAUUGAUUACCACAAGAACAACAGCGAUGAUCUGGUCCGCUACAUUCGCAGUCACAACCGUCCCCGCAUUCCAUUUUGUCUGUAA
rnacentral:rRNA from 1 species